rnacentral:rRNA from 1 species
AGUGAACGCUGGCGGUAGGCCUAACACAUGCAAGUCGAACGGCAGCACAGUAAGAGCUUGCUCUUACGGGUGGCGAGUGGCGGACGGGUGAGGAAUACACCGGAAUCUACUUUUUCGUGGGGGAUAACGUAGGGAAACUUACGCUAAUACCGCAUACGACCUACGGGUGAAAGCAGGGGAUCUUCGGACCUUGCGCGAUUGAAUGAGCCGAUGUCGGAUUAGCUAGUUGGCGGGGUAAAGGCCCACCAAGGCGACGAUCCGUAGCUGGUCUGAGAGGAUGAUCAGCCACACUGGAACUGAGACACGGUCCAGACUCCUACGGGAGGCAGCAGUGGGGAAUAUUGGACAAUGGGCGCAAGCCUGAUCCAGCCAUACCGCGUGGGUGAAGAAGGCCUUCGGGUUGUAAAGCCCUUUUGUUGGGAAAGAAAAGCAGCAGGUUAAUACCCCGCUGUUCUGACGGUACCCAAAGAAUAAGCACCGGCUAACUUCGU